GAAAAGACAUAUUGCACAUAAAUUUAAAAAAAUUUCAUAUCAUUUACCAAAUAUUUUCCAAAAAAUUACUAUUCAAAGAUCUUUUUUUUUUUUUUUUUUCCAAAUAACGGCUAUCAAAUAAGAUAAAAUGGGACUCAAACAAAUCCUCAAAAUAACCGUCACAAAUGUAGCAAAGUUUUAUUUUGGUUAAACUUUGUUUACUGAUGUGUUUACCCUAAUCUAGGUAUGAUACAAGAUUAGCGGAAACGAAAUCAAGUCAUGUUCAAUUAAGUAUUAUUUCAAUAUCGCUGUUUUCCCCAAAGCUAUAUGCAAUGAAUAAUGCUUAUCCUCCAAGAUUGAUCUCAACAUGUUUCUUCAUGAAAAGAGAAGCAUUGUAACGAAUAUAAUUUGAUUUCUUUUAAUCUCUUCGUAUAAAAAUAAUCAAGUUGUCAUCUAAAUCAAUCAUCAUAGCAAUAAGAUUGAUGUAAUUUAAGGAGACGGAAAGAUUAUCGUAACUGCUUUCCAAACCGGCCUCUCAUACAAAAGCAUAUUAAUGGAUUUUACCUAGUCACAUAGACUUCAAGCUAACGGACAAAAUCAAAAUGUAGAUGAAUUAUAAUCUGCAAUUCCACUAACGAACAAAAUAAAAAUUGUAGAUUAAUUACAAUCCACAAUUCUUUCAUCAUUCUUCCUUUCUAUCGUGAAGAAACUAUAAAACAAAGCCUUGAUUUAGACUUGUGAGGUCAGAGAAAUCAGUAGCUUGUAACGAGUUCUCUUGAAUUUCUGACAUGUGAUCUAUGCACUAUGACAUUUAACUUGUAAAUUGUUACAUGUGAUAUUGAUCCAAUAGCAUGUAACCAGUUCUCUUAAAUAUAUGACAUGAAGAUAUUGAUUUGUUACCCAUGUAAUAUAAUCUGUGACAUGUAAUAAUAUGAAUGUGAC
rnacentral:lncRNA from 1 species